ensembl:snRNA U6 U6 spliceosomal RNA
UUAAAACUGGAACAAAAAAAAAUUUAAAAAAAUUGGAACGAUACAGAGAAGAUUAGUAUGCAUGGCCCCUGCACAAGGAUGACAUGCAAAUUCAUGAAGCAUUCCAUAUUUUU